AAAUUGAAGAGUUUGAUCAUGGCUCAGAUUGAACGCUGGCGGCAGGCCUAACACAUGCAAGUCGAGCGGUAGCACAAGAGAGCUUGCUCUCUGGGUGACGAGCGGCGGACGGGUGAGUAAUGUCUGGGAAACUGCCUGAUGGAGGGGGAUAACUACUGGAAACGGUAGCUAAUACCGCAUAACCUCGCAAGAGCAAAGAGGGGGACCUUCGGGCCUCUCGCCAUCAGAUGUGCCCAGAUGGGAUUAGCUAGUAGGUGAGGUAAUGGCUCACCUAGGCGACGAUCCCUAGCUGGUCUGAGAGGAUGACCAGCCACACUGGAACUGAGACACGGUCCAGACUCCUACGGGAGGCAGCAGUGGGGAAUAUUGCACAAUGGGCGCAAGCCUGAUGCAGCCAUGCCGCGUGUGUGAAGAAGGCCUUCGGGUUGUAAAGCACUUUCAGCGAGGAGGAAGGCGGUAAGGUUAAUAACCUUAUCGAUUGACGUUACUCGCAGAAGAAGCACCGGCUAACUCCGUGCCAGCAGCCGCGGUAAUACGGAGGGUGCAAGCGUUAAUCGGAAUGACUGGGCGUAAAGCGCACGCAGGCGGUCUGUUAAGUUGGAUGUGAAAUCCCCGGGCUUAACCUGGGAACUGCAUUCAAAACUGACAGGCUAGAGUCUUGUAGAGGGGGGUAGAAUUCCAGGUGUAGCGGUGAAAUGCGUAGAGAUCUGGAGGAAUACCGGUGGCGAAGGCGGCCCCCUGGACAAAGACUGACGCUCAGGUGCGAAAGCGUGGGGAGCAAACAGGAUUAGAUACCCUGGUAGUCCACGCUGUAAACGAUGUCGAUUUGGAGGUUGUGCCCUUGAGGCGUGGCUUCCGGAGCUAACGCGUUAAAUCGACCGCCUGGGGAGUACGGCCGCAAGGUUAAAACUCAAAUGAAUUGACGGGGGCCCGCACAAGCGGUGGAGCAUGUGGUUUAAUUCGAUGCAACGCGAAGAACCUUACCUACUCUUGACAUCCAGAGAAUUAGCUAGAGAUAGCUGAGUGCCUUCGGGAACUCUGAGACAGGUGCUGCAUGGCUGUCGUCAGCUCGUGUUGUGAAAUGUUGGGUUAAGUCCCGCAACGAGCGCAACCCUUAUCCUUUGUUGCCAGCGAUUCGGUCGGGAACUCAAAGGAGACUGCCGGUGAUAAACCGGAGGAAGGUGGGGAUGACGUCAAGUCAUCAUGGCCCUUACGAGUAGGGCUACACACGUGCUACAAUGGCGUAUACAAAGAGAAGCGACCUCGCGAGAGCAAGCGGACCUCAUAAAGUACGUCGUAGUCCGGAUUGGAGUCUGCAACUCGACUCCAUGAAGUCGGAAUCGCUAGUAAUCGUAGAUCAGAAUGCUACGGUGAAUACGUUCCCGGGCCUUGUACACACCGCCCGUCACACCAUGGGAGUGGGUUGCAAAAGAAGUAGGUAGCUUAACCUUCGGGAGGGCGCUUACCACUUUGUGAUUCAUGACUGGGGUGAAGUCGUAACAAGGUAACCGUAGGGGAACCUGCGGUUGGAUCACCUCCUUA
rnacentral:rRNA from 1 species